CCCUUAGAUGUUCUGGGCCGCACGCGCGCUACACUGAUGCAUUCAACGAGUCUAAAACCUGCGCUGAUAGGGGUGGGUAAUCUUUUGAAUGUGCAUCGUGAUUGGGAUAGAUGAUUGCAAUUUUUCAUCUUCAACGAGGAAUGCCUAGUAAACGCAAGUCAUCAGCUUGCAUUGAUUACGUCCCUGCCCUUUGUACACACCGCCCGUCGCUCCUACCGAUUGAAUGAUCCGAUGAAUAUCAUGGAUUGAGGAUGCAAGUAGGUUCACCUAUCUUCAUCUUCGAGAAGUGAAGUAAAUCUUAUCAUUUAGAGGAAGGAGAAGUCGUAACA
rnacentral:rRNA from 1 species